rnacentral:rRNA from 1 species
AUUGAACGCUGGCGGCAUGCCUUACACAUGCAAGUCGAACGGUAACAGGUCUUCGGAUGCUGACGAGUGGCGAACGGGUGAGUAAUGCAUCGGAACGUGCCCAGUAGUGGGGGAUAGCCCGGCGAAAGCCGGAUUAAUACCGCAUACGACCUGAGGGUGAAAGGGGGGGAUCGCAAGACCUCUCGCUAUUGGAGCGGCCGAUGUCAGAUUAGCUAGUUGGUGGGGUAAAGGCCUACCAAGGCAACGAUCUGUAGUUGGUCUGAGAGGACGACCAGCCACACUGGGACUGGGAUACGGCCCAGACUCCGACGGGAGGCAGCAGUGGGGAAUUUUGGACAAUGGGCGCAAGCCUGAUCCAGCAAUGCCGCGUGCAGGAAGAAGGCCUUCGGGUUGUAAACUGCUUUUGUCAGGGAAGAAAUCUUCUGGGUUAAUACCUCGGGAGGAUGACGGUACCUGAAGAAUAAGCACCGGCUAACUACGUGCCAGCCGCCGCGGUAAAAC